rnacentral:rRNA from 1 species
AUUGAACGCUGGCGGCAUGCUUUACACAUGCAAGUCGAACGGUAACAGGUUAAGCUGACGAGUGGCGAACGGGUGAGUAAUGCAUCGGAACGUGCCCGGUCGUGGGGGAUAACGCAGCGAAAGCUGCGCUAAUACCGCAUACGAUCUGAGGAUGAAAGCGGGGGACCGUAAGGCCUCGCGCGAUCGGAGCGGCCGAUGUCAGAUUAGGUAGUUGGUGGGGUAAAGGCACACCAAGCCAACGAACUGUAGCUGGUCUGAGAGGACGACCAGCCACACUGGGACUGAGACACGGCCCAGACUCCUACGGGAGGCAGCAGUGGGGAAUUUUGGACAAUGGGCGAAAGCCUGAUCCAGCAAUGCCGCGUGCAGGAAGAAGGCCUUCGGGUUGUAAACUGCUUUUGUACGGAGCGAAAAGGUCUCCUCUAAUACAGGGGGCUCAUGACGGUACCGUAAGAAUAAGCACCGGCUAACUACGUGCCAGCCGCCGCGGUAA